rnacentral:rRNA from 1 species
GACGAACGCUGGCGGCGUGCUUAACACAUGCAAGUCGAACGGAAAGGCCCUGCUUUUGUGGGGUGCUCGAGUGGCGAACGGGUGAGUAACACGUGAGUAACCUGCCCUUGACUUUGGGAUAACUUCAGGAAACUGGGGCUAAUACCGGAUAGGAGCUCCUGCUGCAUGGUGGGGGUUGGAAAGUUUCGGCGGUUGGGGAUGGACUCGCGGCUUAUCAGCUUGUUGGUGGGGUAGUGGCUUACCAAGGCUUUGACGGGUAGCCGGCCGGGGAGGGUGACCGGCCACAUUGGGACUGAGAUACGGCCCAGACUCCUACGGGAGGCAGCAGUGGGGAAUAUUGCACAAUGGGCGGAAGCCUGAUGCAGCAACGCCGCGUGCGGGAUGACGGCCUUCGGGUUGUAAACCGCUUUCGCCUGUGACGAAGCGUGAGUGACGGUAAUGGGUAAAGAAGCACCGGCUAACUACGUG